GGCCCGUUAGCUCAGUUGGUUGUAGAGCGUCGUGCUAAUAACGCGAAGGCUAAGUCGCGGGUCUGAUCCCCACGGGCCA